GGUUAAGUCCGCAACGAGCGCAACCCUCGCCAUUAGUUGCCAUCAUUAAGUUGGGCGACUCUAGUGGGACCGCCGGGUGGUAAGGCCGGAGGAAGGUGGGGAUGACGUCAAGUCCUCAUGGCCCUUACGGGUGGGCUACACACGUGCUACAAUGGCGACUACAGAGGGCAGCAAGCCAGCGAUGGGAGCUAAUCCCUAAAAGUCGUCUCAGUUCGGAUUGCACUCUGCAACUCGAGUGCAUGAAGUCGGAAUCGCUAGUAAUCGCGGAUCAGCAUGCCGCGGUGAAUACGUUCCCGGGCCUU
rnacentral:rRNA from 1 species